GCCCUCGUAGUUCAAUGGAUAGAAUAGGAUCCUUCUAAGAUCUAGAUGUUGGUUCGAUUCCAACCGAGGGCA
rnacentral:tRNA from 4 species